rnacentral:rRNA from 1 species
AGUGAACGCUGGCGGUAGGCCUAACACAUGCAAGUCGAACGGCAGCACAGUAAGAGCUUGCUCUUACGGGUGGCGAGUGGCGGACGGGUGAGGAAUACAUCGGAAUCUACUUUUUCGUGGGGGAUAACGUAGGGAAACUUACGCUAAUACCGCAUACGACCUACGGGUGAAAGCAGGGGAUCUUCGGACCUUGCGCGAUUGAAUGAGCCGAUGUCGGAUUAGCUAGUUGGCGGGGUAAAGGCCCACCAAGGCGACGAUCCGUAGCUGGUCUGAGAGGAUGAUCAGCCACACUGGAACUGAGACACGGUCCAGACUCCUACGGGAGGCAGCAGUGGGGAAUAUUGGACAAUGGGCGCAAGCCUGAUCCAGCCAUACCGCGUGGGUGAAGAAGGCCUUCGGGUUGUAAAGCCCUUUUGUUGGGAAAGAAAAGCAGCAGGUUAAGACCCCGCUGUUCUGACGGUACCCAAAGAAUAGGCACCGGCUAACUUCGU